rnacentral:lncRNA from 13 species
AUGCGUCCUCCGAUACACAACCCAACCAAGCCUAACUGCUUCUUAACACAGCGCGCAUUCAACCCGGAAGCCAGCCGCACCAAUCUGUCGGAGGAAACUCUGUGCACCUGGCAACCUUGGUUAGCGUGCACUGCGCCCGGCCCGCCACAGGAGUCACUGGUGCGUGAUGAAACAAGGACAUUCCAACCGGCCAAGCCCUCCCUAACCCAGACGACGCUAGGCCAAAUGUGCAUCGCCCCACGGACCUCCCGGUCGCGGCCGGUUACGACAGAGCCUGGACGCGAACCCAGAGUCUCUGAUGGCACAGCUGGCGCUGACUACAGACCCGUAGCACUCACGCCCAUUGCCAUGAAGUGCUUUGAAAGGCUGGUAAUGGCUCACAUCAACACCAUUAUCUCAGAAACCCUAGACCCACUCCAAUUUGCAUACUGCCCAAACAGAUCCACAGAUGAUGCAAUCUCUAUUGCACUCCACACUGCCCUUUCCCACCUGGAUAAAAGGAACACCUAUGUGAGAAUGCUGUUCAUUGACUACAGCUCAGCAUUCAACACCAUAGUACCCUCAAAGCUCAUCACCAAGCUAAGGAUCCUGGGACUAAACACCUCCCUCUGCAACUGGAUCCUGGACUUCCUGACAGGCCGCCCCCAGGUGGUGAGGGUAGGUAGCAACACAUCUGCCACGCUGAUCCUCAACACUGGAGCUCCCCAGGGGUGCAUGCUCAGUCCCCUCCUGUACUCCCUGUUCACCCACGACUGCAUGGCCAGGCACGACUCCAACACCAUAAUUAAGUUAGCUGACGACACGGACCAGUACAUCACUGACAACGACGAGACAGCCUAUAUGGAGGAGGUCAGAGACCUGGCCGGGUGNNNNNNNNNNCAUUUAGUUUUACUUGCAUUUAAGAGCAGUUGGAGGCCACGGAAGAAGAGUUGUAUGGCAUUGAAGUUCGUCUGGAGUAGAGGUCGACCGAUUAAUCGGAAUGGCCGAUUUCAAGUUUUCAUAACAAUCGGAAAUCUGUAUUUUUGGACACCGAUUUGUCCGAUUAUUAUAUAUUUUUACACCUUUAUUUAA